rnacentral:rRNA from 1 species
CCUACGGGCGGCAGCAGUGAGGAAUAUUGGUCAAUGGACGAGAGUCUGAACCAGCCAAGUAGCGUGAAGGAUGACUGCCCUAUGGGUUGUAAACUUCUUUUAUAUGGGAAUAAAACGCUCCACGUGUGGGAUUUUGUAUGUACCAUAUGAAUAAGGAUCGGCUAACUCCGUGCCAGCAGCCGCGGUAAUACGGAGGAUCCGAGCGUUAUCCGGAUUUAUUGGGUUUAAAGGGAGCGUAGGUGGAUUGUUAAGUCAGUUGUGAAAGUUUGCGGCUCAACCGUAAAAUUGCAGUUGAAACUGGCAGUCUUGAGUACAGUAGAGGUGGGCGGAAUUCGUGGUGUAGCGGUGAAAUGCUUAGAUAUCACGAAGAACUCCGAUUGCGAAGGCAGUUCACUGGACUGCAACUGACACUGAGGCUCGAAAGUGUGGGUAUCAAACAGGAUUAGAUACCCUUGUAGUC